rnacentral:rRNA from 1 species
GGGCGUUAAGUUGCAGGGUAUAGACCCGAAACCCGGUGAUCUAGCCAUGGGCAGGUUGAAGGUUGGGUAACACUAACUGGAGGACCGAACCGACUAAUGUUGAAAAAUUAGCGGAUGACCUGUGGCUGGGGGUGAAAGGCCAAUCAAACCGGGAGAUAGCUGGUUCUCCCCGAAAGCUAUUUAGGUAGCGCCUCGUGAAUUCAUCUCCGGGGGUAGAGCACUGUUUCGGCUAGGGGGCCAUCCCGGCUUACCAACCCGAUGCAAACUGCGAAUACCGGAGAAUGUUAUCACGGGAGACACACGGCGGGUGCUAACGUCCGUCGUGAAGAGGGAAACAACCCAGACCGCCAGCUAAGGUCCCAAAGUCAUGGUUAAGUGGGAAACGAUGUGGGAAGGCCCAGACAGCCAGGAUGUUGGCUUAGAAGCAGCCAUCAUUUAAAGAAAGCGUAAUAGCUCACUGGUCGAGUCGGCCUGCGCGGAAGAUGUAACGGGGCUAAACCAUGCACCGAAGCUGCGGCAGCGACACUAUGUGUUGUUGGGUAGGGGAGCGUUCUGUAAGCCGUCGAAGGUGUGCUGUGAGGCAUGCUGGAGGUAUCAGAAGUGCGAAUGCUGACAUAAGUAACGAUAAAGCGGGUGAAAAGCCCGCUCGCCGGAAGACCAAGGGUUCCUGUCCAACGUUAAUCGGGGCAGGGUGAGUCGACCCCUAAGGCGAGGCCGAAAGGCGUAGUCGAUGGGAAACAGGUUAAUAUUCCUGUACUUGGUGUUACUGCGAAGGGGGGACGGAGAAGGCUAUGUUAGCCGGGCGACGGUUGUCCCGGUUUAAGCGUGUAGGCUGACUUUCCAGGCAAAUCCGGAAAGUUAAGGCUGAGGCGUGAUGACGAGGCACCACGGUGCUGAAGUAACAAAUGCCCUGCUUCCAGGAAAAGCCUCUAAGCAUCAGGUAACAUCAAAUCGUACCCCAAACCGACACAGGUGGUCAGGUAGAGAAUACCAAGGCGCUUGAGAGAACUCGGGUGAAGGAACUAGGCAAAAUGGUGCCGUAACUUCGGGAGAAGGCACGCUGACAUGUAGGUGAAGCCCCUGCGGGUGGAGCUGAAGUCAGUCGAAGAUACCAGCUGGCUGCAACUGUUUAUUAAAAACACAGCACUGUGCAAACACGAAAGUGGACGUAUACGGUGUGACGCCUGCCCGGUGCCGGAAGGUUAAUUGAUGGGGUUAUCGCAAGAGAAGCUCCUGAUCGAAGCCCCGGUAAACGGCGGCCGUAACUAUAACGGUCCUAAGGUAGCGAAAUUCCUUGUCGGGUAAGUUCCGACCUGCACGAAUGGCGUAAUGAUGGCCAGGCUGUCUCCACCCGAGACUCAGUGAAAUUGAACUCGCUGUGAAGAUGCAGUGUACCCGCGGCAAGACGGAAAGACCCCGUGAACCUUUACUACAGCUUGACACUGAACAUUGAGCCUUGAUGUGUAGGAUAGGUGGGAGGCUUUGAAGCGUGGACGCCAGUCUGCGUGGAGCCAACCUUGAAAUACCACCCUUUAAUGUUUGAUGUUCUAACCUGGCGCC